rnacentral:tRNA from 1 species
GGCAGUGUGGCUUAGAGGUAGAGUGCUUGCCUAGCAUGCAAGAAGCCCUGGGUUUGAUUUCUCAGCACCA